UGGGGAAUAUUGCACAAUGGGGGAAACCCUGAUGCAGCGACGCCGCGUGAAGGAAGAAGGUCUUCGGAUCGUAAACUUCUAUCAGCAGGGAAGAAGAUAGUGACGGUACCUGACUAAGAAGCCCCGGCUAACUACGUG
rnacentral:rRNA from 1 species